CAGGCUUAACACAUGCAAGUCGAGGGGCAGCAUGGUCUUAGCUUGCUAAGGCCGAUGGCGACCGGCGCACGGGUGAGUAACACGUAUCCAACCUGCCGUCUACUCUUGGACAGCCUUCUGAAAGGAAGAUUAAUACAAGAUGGCAUCAUGAGUCCGCAUGUUCACAUGAUUAAAGGUAUUCCGGUAGACGAUGGGGAUGCGUUCCAUUAGAUAGUAGGCGGGGUAACGGCCCACCUAGUCUUCGAUGGAUAGGGGUUCUGAGAGGAAGGUCCCCCACAUUGGAACUGAGACACGGUCCAAACUCCUACGGGAGGCAGCAGUGAGGAAUAUUGGUCAAUGGGCGAGAGCCUGAACCAGCCAAGUAGCGUGAAGGAUGACUGCCCUAUGGGUUGUAAACUUCUUUUAUAAAGGAAUAAAGUCGGGUAUGGAUACCCGUUUGCAUGUACUUUAUGAAUAAGGAUCGGCUAACUCCGUGCCAGCAGCCGCGGUAAUACGGAGGAUCCGAGCGUUAUCCGGAUUUAUUGGGUUUAAAGGGAGCGUAGAUGGAUGUUUAAGUCAGUUGUGAAAGUUUGCGGCUCAACCGUAAAAUUGCAGUUGAUACUGGAUAUCUUGAGUGCAGUUGAGGCAGGCGGAAUUCGUGGUGUAGCGGUGAAAUGCUUAGAUAUCACGAAGAACUCCGAUUGCGAAGGCAGCCUGCUAAGCUGCAACUGACAUUGAGGCUCGAAAGUGUGGGUAUCAAACAGGAUUAGAUACCCUGGUAGUCCACACGGUAAACGAUGAAUACUCGCUGUUUGCGAUAUACAGCAAGCGGCCAAGCGAAAGCGUUAAGUAUCCCACCUGGGGAGUACGCCGGCAACGGUGAAACUCAAAGGAAUUGACGGGGGCCCGCACAAGCGGAGGAACAUGUGGUUUAAUUCGAUGAUACGCGAGGAACCUUACCCGGGCUUAAAUUGCAGAUGAAUUACGGUGAAAGCCGUAAGCCGCAAGGCAUCUGUGAAGGUGCUGCAUGGUUGUCGUCAGCUCGUGCCGUGAGGUGUCGGCUUAAGUGCCAUAACGAGCGCAACCCUUGUUGUCAGUUACUAACAGGUUCCGCUGAGGACUCUGACAAGACUGCCAUCGUAAGAUGUGAGGAAGGUGGGGAUGACGUCAAAUCAGCACGGCCCUUACGUCCGGGGCUACACACGUGUUACAAUGGGGGGUACAGAGGGCCGCUACCACGCGAGUGGAUGCCAAUCCCCAAAACCUCUCUCAGUUCGGACUGGAGUCUGCAACCCGACUCCACGAAGCUGGAUUCGCUAGUAAUCGCGCAUCAGCCACGGCGCGGUGAAUACGUUCCCGGGCCUUGUACACACCGCCCGUCAAGCCAUGGGAGCCGGGGGUACCUGAAGUGCGUAACCGCGAGGAGCGCCCUAGGGUAAAACUGGUGACUGGGGCUAAGU
rnacentral:rRNA from 1 species